UUGGAGGGCAAGUCUGGUGCCAGCAGCCGCGGUAAUUCCAGCUCCAAUAGCGUAUAUUAAAGUUGUUGCAGUUAAAAAGCUCGUAGUUGAAUUUCGGGGUUAGUAGGUUGGUCGUGCCUCAGGUAUGUACUGAUCUCACUGAUUCCUCCUUCCUGAUGAACCGUAAUGCCAUUAAUUUGGUGUUGCGGGGAAUCUGGACUGUUACUUUGAAAAAAUUAGAGUGUUUAAAGCAGGCUAACGCUUGAAUACAUUAGCAUGGAAUAAUGAAAUAGGACGUUCGAUCCUAUUUUGUUGGUUUCUAGGAUUGACGUAAUGAUUAAUAGGGAUAGUUGGGGGCAUUAGUAUUCAAUUGUCAGAGGUGAAAUUCUUGGAUUUAUUGAAGACUAACUACUGCGAAAGCAUUUGCCAAGGAUGUUUUCAUUAAUCAAGAACGAAAGUUAGGGGAUCGAAGACGAUCAGAUACCGUCGUAGUCUUAACCAUAAACUAUGCCGACUAGGGAUCGGAUGAUGUUAAUUUUUUAAUGACUCAUUCGGCGCCUUACGGGAAAC
rnacentral:rRNA from 1 species